rnacentral:misc_RNA from 1 species
UGCUUAUACAUGUAUGUAGAAAUUGAUCACUUACUCAUUUCAUGCGUGAUAUUCCUUCACAAUUGAUUUCCUCAUCCUCUAUAGUCUAGAUUACUGUUCUACUACUGGAAAACUCUACUGGCAACUGUUUUCUUUAUAAAUUGUUAAAUUAGAUAGAUUAAUUUUGGAAAUUUUACUUAUGUAAAGUAUGUAAUGCACUUGAUUAAUUAUAAAUAAUUGUUAAUUAAGACAUGUGCCUUUAACAAAUGAAAGAGUUGCCCUGUUUUACUCCGGUCUUCAAUAACUGUCGGAUUCCUGGUUUUAAUAUAGACACAUAUAUUUUUCACACAUUUUGUUUUCAUCAGUGGAUAUUUUAAGUGUUAAAAUGUAUACACAAUGAUAAGGGUGAAUAUCUUUUGAUGAAAAGAAGUUGUUUUGUUUUUGUAAAUUAAGUAUGUGAUUUCAGUCAGCAAAGUGAAAAUGUGUAAAAAUGUAAACGUUUGGUGCUUCUCUAGUUAAUUCCUGUAGCGCAGAAUAUUUUGUUUUGUAUUACCUUCUGUAUUUGUUGCAACAAUUUAUAAAAAUAAAAGUUUUAAAGUUUUUGUUU